AAUCUCUCCACACCACUCUCUCUCUCUCUCUCUCUCCACUGUUCUUCUGCUCCUUCCUUUCUCUUUCAAACCCAUUUGAUAUCUUUCUUCACUUUCCUCAGCCAUGGUGGAUGCGAUGCCCCUUUUGCCAAUGAUGCUUCCUCUUCUGUUUCUUUACCUCAGUAUUAAUGCAAAUGAGGUUCACUGCUAUGAAGAGAAGACCCUCAGCCUGCAAACAUUUCAAUGGAAGCAGCAAAGUGGCAAUAAUCCAAGUUGCCUCUCCCGGAAAUCAAGGAAGGAGAAUGGUGCAACCAUAUUGGAAGUGAAGCACACAGACUACUGCUCGGGAAAGAUCAUUGACUGGAAUAAGAAGCUACAAAAGCGUUUGAUAUUGGAUGAUUUUCAUGUCCGGUCACUGCAAUCCCGGUUUAAGAACACGGCAUCGGUGGCUGGUACCGGAGAUGCUUCAGAAGCUCAAAUGCCAUUAACAUCUGGCAUAAAACUUCAGACUCUAAACUACAUUGUAACCAUAGGAUUGGGAGGCAGAAAUAUGACAGUGAUUGUAGACACAGGAAGUGAUUUGACAUGGGUUCAAUGCUUGCCAUGCAAGUUAUGCUACAAUCAACAAGAACCUCUCUUCAACCCUUCUUCAUCCCCAUCAUACCAGUUAGUUUCCUGCAAUUCAUCAACCUGUCAGUCUCUGCAAUUUGCUUCUGGGAAUCCAGGAAUCUGUGGGAGUAACCAAUCUACAACUUGUAACUAUGUUGUUAACUAUGGAGAUGGAUCAUAUACUAGAGGAGAGCUAGCUCAUGAGCAUCUUAAUCUUGGAACAACUCCUGUGAACAAUUUUGUAUUUGGCUGUGGAAGGAACAACAAAGGUCUUUUUGGUGGAGCUUCAGGUCUAAUGGGUCUGGGAAGGAGUGAUCUCUCAGUGAUUUCUCAAAGUUCUGCCAUUUUUGGAGGAGUUUUCUCCUACUGUCUACCUUCCACAGAAGCUGGAGCUUCUGGUUCAUUGGCAAUGGGUGGAGAUUCUUCAGGGUUCAAGAAUUUCACUCCCAUUUCUUACACCAGAAUGGUUCAUAAUCCACAGCUAUCCACCUUCUAUUUUCUCAACCUUACAGGAAUUAGCAUUGGUGGGGUGGCUUUACAAGCUCCAAGUUUUGGUAAAGGUGGAAUUCUGAUCGACUCUGGAACUGUUAUUACAAGGCUUGCUCCAUCAGUUUAUGAGACUGUGAAAGCAGAGUUUCUGAAACAAUUUUCUGGGUUUCCUCCAGCACCUGGAUUUUCUAUCUUGGACACUUGCUUUAACCUCAGUGGAUAUCAGGAAGUGAACAUUCCUGCAAUGAAAUUUCACUUUGAGGGUAAUGCUGAGAUGUAUGUGGAUAUAACAGGCAUCUUUUAUUUUGUAAAGACUGAUGCAUCUCAGGUUUGCUUGGCUCUUGCAAGCCUCUCCUACGAAGAUGAAAUUGGUAUUAUUGGGAAUUAUCAGCAGAAGAAUCAAAGGGUUAUAUAUGAUAGUAAACAGUCCAUGCUGGGAUUUGCAGGAGAAAGUUGCAGUUUCAUGUGAACUGAAGAAUGUGAUCAAUACAUAUAUAUCUUCCGAGCAGAGCCAAACUAUAUAUGAUUGGCAAUAUAAUUAAUGCAGAUAUUGUCUCCCAAGUUUAAUAAUGCGACUUCUUAAUGUGGAGAGCAAGAGGAGUACAAACUAUCAUGAAAAGCUGAGAGAUUUCCCACGUUUUGCUAUUCUUUGAGGCUGGAAUUUUUCCAAACAUCACAAAAUUUGAACCAUUCUAUUUGUAUUCCGGUAAAUUGAA